rnacentral:rRNA from 1 species
GGCAGACGGGUGAGUAACAUGUGGGAAUCUGCCUUGUGGUUCAGGACAACAUUGGGAAACCGAUGCUAAUACUGGAUAAGCCCUUACGGGGAAAGUUUUAAUGCCAUAAGAUGAGCCCGCAUUUGAUUAGUUAGUUGGUGAGGUAAUGGCUCACCAAGACAAUGAUCAAUAGCUGAUCUGAGAGGAUGAUCAGCCACACUGGGACUGAGACACGGCCCAGACUCCUACGGGAGGCAGCAGUGGGGAAUCUUGCACAAUGGAGGAAACUCUGAUGCAGCGAUGCCGCGUGAGUGAAGAAGGCCUUUGGGUUGUAAAGCUCUUUUGUAGGGGAAGAUAAUGACUGUACCCUAAGAAUAAGGUCCGGCUAACUUCGUGCCAGCAGCCGCGGUAAUACGAAGGGACCUAGCGUAGUUCGGAAUUACUGGGCGUAAAGCGCGCGUAGGCCGUUGAGUUAGUUAAUUGUGAAAUCCCAAAGCUUAACUUUGGAACUGCAAUUAAAACUGCUCGACUAGAGUUUGAUAGAGGAAAGCGGAAUACAUAGUGUAGAGGUGAAAUUCGUAGAUAUUAUGUAGAACACCANUUGCGAAGGCGGCUUUCUGGAUCAACACUGACGCUGAGGCGCGAAAGUAUGGGUAGCAAAGAGGAUUAGAUACCCUCGUAGUCCAUACCAUA